AUGGCUUCUAAUAGAGCUAUAACACUCACGACAAGGCCCAAGAUUCCAUUCCUUGAAUUCUGUGAGGCCCAGAACCCCAGGUCAGAGAACACGAGGCUUGCCACCAUCUGGGAAGCAGCCCGCGGACAUCUUGGGAGCUCUAGGAGCAAGGACCCCCGGGUGAAGAAAACAUUUACCAGCAUGACCUACAGAGACCUACCUCAUCUGGCACUUUCCUACCUCUCUGGCUCCCUGCAUCCCCUGUUUAUGCCCUCCUGAAAUCCUCAGCUCCUGUCAAUCCUCUCUACAGAGCUCUCUGGAGUUGGAGAACCAGGAUGACAUACAUUUUAAAAAACAGCUGUCUAUCACAAAAAGGAGUAUUACAAUAUAUGAUACAAUAAAACCAUCAAAAUGACUAUUCAAAUAAAUAACACAUAUUCAAUUUCUUAAAUAGAUAAUAUAUUUACAACAGCUCAAAAUUCUGAAAUUAUGGAAUAGUAUUCAGUAGAAAUUCUCUCACCCUUGUCCCCCAUCUAUCCAGUUUCCACACUCCCUCCAAAACAAGUAACCACUGUUUUUUUUAACUCCUUAUUUUGAAAUAAUAUAGACUCCCAAGAAAUUGCAAAAUUAAUAAGGAGAAUUCCUGAUAUAACCACUCUUUAAAGUUUAGAGUAUACUCUUCCAGGAAAUACAUAUAUAAGCUUGUAUAAAUGUAUCAUAUUUUCCACUCUGUUUUAUUCAAAUGGCAUCAUGUUAUACAUACUUUUGCACCUUGAUGCUAAAGACUGAAUAUGUCUUGGCAAAAUUCAUAUGUUGGAGCCUUAACCC
rnacentral:lncRNA from 1 species